rnacentral:miRNA from 1 species
ACACACACACACACACACACACACGUGUGUGUGUGUGUGUGUGUGUGU